rnacentral:rRNA from 1 species
GGUCAAGCUAUAAAGGGCUCAUGGCGGAUACCUUGGCACACAGAGGCGAUGAAGGAUGUGGUUACCUGCGAUAUGUCUCGGGGAGCUGGAUACACGCUUUGAUCCGGGAAUUUCCGAAUGGGGCAACCCCUAGUACGGCCAGCUGAAUACAUAGGCUGGCGCGAGCCAACCCA